CAGCAGCCGCGGUAAUACGUAGGUGGCAAGCGUUGUCCGGAAUUAUUGGGCGUAAAAGGCUCGCAGGCGGUUUCUUAAGUCUGAUGUGAAAGCCCCCGGCUCAACCGGGGAGGGUCAUUGGAAACUGGGAAACUUGAGUGCAGAAGAGGAGAGUGGAAUUCCACGUGUAGCGGUGAAAUGCGUAGAGAUGUGGAGGAACACCAGUGGCGAAGGCGACUCUCUGGUCUGUAACUGACGCUGAGGAGCGAAAGCGUGGGGAGCGAACAGGAUUAGAUACCCCGGUAGUCCCUGUCUCUUAUAC
rnacentral:rRNA from 1 species